GAUAGGAGAAUGAAAAAUUAAAUUUUUCCUCCUUAUUUUCAGCUUUUUCUUCCUGAAUAAAUUCAAAUUCAACUAAAAAUGCUAAAAAUCAAGAGUAAAGUUUUAAUUUGUCAUUUUCCUAUU
rnacentral:pre_miRNA from 1 species